rnacentral:rRNA from 1 species
GAUGAACGCUAGCGGCAGGCCUAACACAUGCAAGUCGAGGGGUAGAAGGAGCUUGCUCCUUUGAGACCGGCGCACGGGUGCGUAACGCGUAUGCAAUCUACCUUGUACAGGGGAAUAGCCCAGAGAAAUUUGGAUUAAUGCCCCAUAGUAUAUAACCUUCGCAUGUUGGUUAUAUUAAAGUUCCAACGGUACAAGAUGAGCAUGCGUCCCAUUAGUUAGUUGGUAAGGUAACGGCUUACCAAGACGAUGAUGGGUAGGGGUCCUGAGAGGGAGAUCCCCCACACUGGUACUGAGAAACGGACCAGAAUCCUACGGGAGGCAGCAGUUAGGAAUAUUGGUCAAUGGUCGCAAGACUGAACCAGCCAUGCCGCGUGCAGGAAGACGGUCCUAUGGAUUGUAAACUGCUUUUAUACAGGAAGAAACCCUCCCACGUGUGGGAGCUUGACGGUACUGUAGGAAUAAGAAUCGGCUAACUCCGUG